ACAUCCAGAGAACUUUAGCAGAGAUGCUUUUGGGUGCCUUUCGGGAACUCUGAGACAGGUGCUGCAUGGCUGUCGUCAGCUCGUGUUGUGAAAUGUUGGGUUAAGUCCCGNAACGAGCGCAACCCUUUAUCCUUUGUUGCCAGCGGUUCGGCCGGGAACUCAAAGGAGACUGCCGGUGAUAAACCGGAGGAAGGUGGGGAUGACGUCAAGUCAUCAUGGCCCUUACGGCCAGGGCUACACACGUGCUACAAUGGCGCAUACAAAGAGAAGCGACCUCGCGAGAGCAAGCGGACCUCAUAAAGUGCGUCGUAGUCCGGAUUGGAGUCUGCAACUCGACUCCAUGAAGUCGGAAUCGCUAGUAAUCGUAGAUCAGAAUGCUACGGUGAAUACGUUCCCGGGCCUUGUACACACCGCCCGUCACACCAUGGGAGUGGGUUGCAAAAGAAGUAGGUAGCUUAACCUUCGGGAGGGCGCUUACCACUUUGUGAUUCAUGACUGGGGUGAAGUCGUAACAAGGUAGGCGUAGCGAG
rnacentral:rRNA from 1 species